rnacentral:rRNA from 1 species
CGCGUAGGUGGCCUUCUAAGUCGAACGUGAAAUCCCCGGGCUCAACCCGGGAACUGCGUCCGAUACUGGAGGGCUUGAAUCCGGGAGAGGGAUGCGGAAUUCCAGGUGUAGCGGUGAAAUGCGUAGAUAUCUGGAGGAACACCGGUGGCGAAGGCGGCAUCCUGGACCGGCAUUGACGCUGAGGCGCGAAAGCCAGGGGAGCAAACG